GACGAACCGUGCGAACGUUGUUCGGAAUCACUGGGCUUAAAGGGCGCGUAGGCGGGCUGUCAAGUCCGGGGUGAAAUCCUCCAGCUCAACUGGAGAAUUGCCUCGGAUACUGAUGGUCUCGAGGAGGAUAGGGGCACACGGAACUGUGGGUGGAGCGGUGAAAUGCGUUGAUAUCCACAGGAACUCCGGUGGCGAAAGCGGUGUGCUGGAUCCUUUCUGACGCUGAUGCGCGAAAGCCAGGGGAGCAAACGGG
rnacentral:misc_RNA from 1 species